GAGAGACUGAGGGCUUCAUCUUCAUCAGUGGGAGACUACUGUAACUGGGGUUUGCAAGCACUUGUCUCCCUCGAACAACUUACAAUUGGUGGCAGGGGAAGUGAUGAAAUCUUGGAGACGUUGCUCAAGCAACAGCUGCUCCCUACCACUCUUCACACUCUCUGCAUCUACCAACUUUCAACUCUGAAAUCUUUGGAUGGAAAGGGACUUGCACACCUUACCUUUCUUCGAAGUCUAUCUAUUACUAGGUGUAACCGCCUGGAAUUCCUUCCAGGAGAGGCACUUCAACACCUCACUUCUCUUCAACUACUAUUUAUUAGUGAGUGUGACAGUAUCCAAUUCCUGCCAGAGGAGGGUUUGCCACCAUCUCUUUCUUAUCUGAGCAUCUCCAAUUGUUCUGCCCUGGAGAAAAGGUAUCAGAAUAAGACGGGACGAGAUCAUUGGGCCAGCAUAUCUCACGUUCCUAGCAUCCAGAUAAAUGAUGAAGUCAUCAUCAUAUGAUAUGAGUUCUCUCUCUCUCUCUCUCGCAUAGAGACAAACAAAGUAUUCUAUUGCUUUUCGAUAUUUCACUCUCAACUUUCAAAUCAAACUCAAGUCAGGACAGCACCUUCUCUUGGAAAGCUUUUCAUUUGCAAGGUUUCUUUACAUGUCAUUUCCAGGGUCUAACGUGAAGGAAGCUCCAACAAUCUCUUGUCUGUGGAGGAAUUCAGAUUCUAUCUCAGCAAAUUUUUGUGUGGAUUCUAUCAACUGAUUGAACAUCUUUGUUCACUUGGAAGACAACUUAAAUUGGAGCUUGAACCUUCUUUGUAAUAUUCUUUGUACUUCAAGUUGUUUGGCAUGGGCAGUUAUCUGUGUUUUCCUGGACUUUGUACUGGCCAUAAUUUAACAGGAACCAUGUAAAUGCAUAUCCAUUUGUGAUUCCACAAGUCAGAACUGUUCCUAUACAUCCAGUUACUCCUUGCUUCAAAUGGCAGAGUUAUAGGGUGCAAGUAGUGAAUUCUUUACCAUUUCAAAUGGACUUCUGUUGUAGUCUUUAUCUUCUGGUGUAGCCCUGUUGUUAAUGUGUUACCUACAAAUUGAAUGGUGUCCUUGUCUGCAAUCCCUGCCAGGACAAGGACUGAUAAAUACCUCACUUCUCUUUCAAACAGAGUAAUUCGUUGGUGUCUGAGGCUCAGAUUCGUGGCAGACGAUAGUUCUCCGAGGUCUCUUUCUCUUCUGAGAAUCAGGUUGUUAUUCCUUGAAGAAAAGGUGUCAAUAAGACCGGAUAAUAUGGGCCAACACAUUCCUUACAUACAGAUAAGUGAGGAGGUGAU